AGUUGCCAUGGAGACAAGCCUAUAAUAUGGGCCACAAGCCUAAAAUACUUACAAUCUGGCCGUUUCCAGUAAAAGGUUGCUGGCCCCUGGUCUCAUCCAACUGCUUGAUAGAUGAGGACAUUAAUGCUGAGUGAACUGACUUGGCCAAGGUCCUGGUUCUUAAAGACAAGGCUUCUCGACAUGUGGAACUCACUGCCACCAUACUGCCUCAUGUUCCACGUAAGAGCAUGAAACUGUGAUGAACAUUAAGAGGAGCUGCUUCAUCUCCUGCAGUGGGAUGUUGUCUGAUGGCUCCAACAUUGUCCCUCUGCACGUUGUACCAAGGCCAGAUUUCUCAUGUUCUCUUCCCAGCCAAUGAUUGAACAUGGUGGCGUUCCUGCAGGACCUGGGUCUCCUCAACCAGGAGAUGCUGCCUCAAGAACUCCCCAGAAGCCUGGCUGAAACUUUCUUGGAAUAAGGCUACAGUCUGAGACUCUUCCUACUUAAUCCUCCUUCACAGGGGUCAGACCUACAUCAUGGUCUGAUGGUUUUCCCAGCGUUGUUGGCUUCUUCCUUCUUCUCCUUCACAGGCAGUGCCCUCAAUAAAUGCUUUGCUCAUCUAA
rnacentral:lncRNA from 1 species